rnacentral:RNase_MRP_RNA from 1 species
CUUGGGGAAAUUCCCCGGACGCAAGGGCAGAGAGUGCCAACUGGGAACAGUCUACCGGCGCGGACGCCGCUCUCGCGACGACGGCUAGUGUAAUACUAGCAAGAGCUUAUGGGAGUCGGUUCCGUGAAACAGCCGCCGUCUUAUCAAAGUGAUGCUAUC